GGUAUGUUCCGUUGUCCUUGAAGAAUUGGGUUUUCUCGGGAGUGUCGUUGUACUCUCCAGCAUCGUCUGGCAAUUCCCACUCAGGAUGGCCAGCCUUUGCCGCUGCUGCUUUGAAGUCUGCUUCCAGGAGAACUGGAAUGGCGAUUUAGCUUAGCUAACCUGGACGGCUGUUCUUCCAUGGAAGAGAGGCUGGUCAUCCACUCCAAGGGUGAGGUACUCGAUGUUCCUCGUCCCGCCGCGGUUGGUGUAGAAAAUGUCCGGGUCGGUGGCGCCGACGUCGCGCACCCACUGUGGGAUGGGGAUGUUGACGAUGUCGCCGACGUUGCCACCGCACUGGUGGAACGACAUGAUGGCCUGCAGCUUGAGCCCGGCCUCGUGCACCAGGUCGAAGACCUGCUUGUAGGCGCUCCAGUCGUAUGCCUUGGGGCCCUUGCCCUCCACCAGCCCCCACCAGACGUCUAUCAUGACGCCGUCCACGCCGGCCUCCGUCAGCUUCUUCAGCUGCGCCCUGGUCUCAUCGCCCUUCUCGAACUUGUUGUCGACGCUCACGACGUCCAGCUAUUCUCACAGUGGAAGUGAAGACAAGGGGAGCUCGAGGGGUCUAUUUAUACUGCGAAAGAGGGAGGAGGAGGGCGGGUCCUUCUCCAGCGAGGCGAGGUGAACUGCUUGAUUUUGGUUACCGCUCACAGCCCAGCUUCAGGGUUGAUAUCAUAUUUUCCUUGUCACUAGGAGAAGAUUGGGUAUCUGAGUGUUCUGAUUCGUUCACGUGUGUUUAGAGCGGCAAGCCAACAGUAUAUCAGGUUUAAAUACGUUAUCCGGGGAAAAAAAUACAGGGUCGUCACGUAUGUACGACUAGGACAAAGUUCUCAUUGUCUCUGGAUUAUGGCAAAAGCCGAAGCCACGAGCCCAUAAAAUAGUUCCUAUGUUUCCUUUUACUUCGCAUAUAAAAUUUGUUUAAAGUCAAACUAAGCAAAAUUUGACCAAAUUUAUCUUAAAAAUAUCAACAUCUACAAAAUUAUAUAGCUUGAAAAUUUAUUUCAUGAUGCAUCUAAUGAUAUUGACUUCGUAUUGUUAAUAUUGACAUUACUUUGUUAUAAAGUUGGUCAAACUUUAUAAAGUUCAACUUAAGACA